rnacentral:rRNA from 1 species
UACGUAGGUGACAAGCGUUGUCCGGAUUUACUGGGCGUAAAGAGCGCGCAGGCGGUCGUUCAAGUCGAGUGUGAAAGCCCCCGGCUCAACUGGGGAGGGUCACUCGAUACUGAUCGACUCGAAGGCAGGAGAGGGUAGUGGAAUUCCCGGUGUAGUGGUGAAAUGCGUAGAUAUCGGGAGGAACACCAGUGGCGAAGGCGACUACCUGGCCUGUUCUUGACGCUGAGGCGCGAAAGCUAGGGGAGCAAGCGGG